GGGACUUCAUUGCUGAAGCCCUGGGUGUGUAUGUGCACGUUCACGUCAGUGCAGAAGAGUGCGUGGCUUUGAAGCAGCUGGGAAGCCCUGAACUUCAGAGACAAGUUAAUUUGCUUUGUGACACAGACCUGCGUGGCUACAGGUAUAAAGGUAUAAGCAUUAGAAGAGAAGGGAGAAGGCCUACAGUUCCUCGGGUCUCCCUCUUCCCAAGGCUCCACCGUGAAGUGACAUUUUUGUCCUAAACUCUGGGCGAGAAAAUGACGUAAAGUGUCCUGAGAACCCUCUCCAGCAAGUUUCCAUUUCCGCAAACGCUGCCGGAUAAGCUUUCACAGGGCGGGCCGGCGGUGGACCCGGAACCAAAGGGAGGUUGUCGUGGGCCCCCGGGUGCGGGUGUGGCGAGGACAGCAGAGGAUGCUGACGAGACCUGAACGCGGCGCGGACUGCGGAGGCUGGUGUCUCAUGCGGUGAGGGUCAAGAAAAGGACCACAGAGGAUGAGAUGGCUGGAUGGCAUCACCGAC
ensembl:lncRNA